UUACUAUAUUUAUAAAUAAAAGCAUAAUUUAAUAUUAUAUAAUAAAAUCCGUAAUAUUUAAUUCAUUUUCACCAUUCAAAAUUUAUUUUGAACCGCUAGAACUGCUUGAUCCGUACUUGUUCAGCUAGAACCGCUUUAUCCGAUUUUGUUCCGCUUGAUCCGCUCUGUCCGGUACGCUUUCUCCAUUUGGAGUCAAUAACGUAUAAUAUACGAGUAAAAGAUACAAGUUGACAAUGAGUUUGGAAAAAGCAAGAAAAGAAAGAAAAAAAAAAGGAGAAGAAGGAUAAGAACUAAGAAGUAGCUCAAAGGACUCUUGUCUAAACCCUAAGUCGAAAGUAACUAUUGCCGACUUUGUGUUCUCUGCUUCUUACCGAUUUUAUCUGCUUUUGUGAUGUAAACUCAUUUUUGAAUUUUUCGAUUUUCUUUGUCUCAUAAUAAAAAUCUCUGAUUUCAGCGAUAAUAGGGUUUUGUAGAAUCUUUGAUUUGAACACAAAUCUUGUAUUUUUUGUCAUGGGUAUGACAAAACAAAAUCUAUUUGGUUACAUUUGAAAACUAGUCGUCGGCCUUACCUAGAUUUCUUAAGGAUUUCUUUGUUUUCUUUUUCGUAACUCUGAGUUUUGGGUUUUGGGUAUUUUUGGUUGGUCAUGUGGAUAAUAAAGUCAUGCUCUUUAGUACAUACAUGCUCUAUUUCUUACCUGGGUCUUGUUUCCAGAAUUUCUUAGUGGAGAGAAAGAGCUCUUGCUAGUCAUGGACGAAGCAAGUAGGAGGACGAGGCAUGACGAAACCAUGUUACUCAUAAGGAAUUACCUUGAGGGACACGUAAUGGUGAACACCGUUCAGGCGUGAGUACUUUUAGAUUUUUGUUAUUAUUUUCCUACAGCAACAGUGUGUUUUGUCCUAACUAUUGCAUUGUAUGUGUAGUGUUUUUUUUCUGUGUUGUGUUAGUCUAGAUUCUGAGAGAAAUCUGGCCGAUCUUGCAACCUUUACAUCAUAAGGACGUUAUGGAAGAGCUUGAAAUAAGUCAUAUCACUGGUAUGAAGUUUCAUCCUCAAUUACUUCUAGAGAUUCAAAGCAUUAUCACAUGAGUUCAAGGUAUGUUUCAA
rnacentral:sRNA from 1 species